GAGGGGGCGAGGAGGGGUGUGGAUAGCCUCCUAGAAAUAUUGAUGCAAAAAGAAAAAAAGAAAGAAAGAAAAGAGUGGAACCUUGGUUCUUAAAAAAAAAAAAAAAAGCGUCAAAGAAGCAAUGAGAGGUGAUUUGAAUGUGAGGCCACUGAUUGGUGCAGGCCCUGCUGACAUCACUUCCCAAAGAGAGUGAUUAACAUUAGAACAGGAGUAUAGAAGUUGGUCUGGAGAAAGAGGGGGAGACACUGAAUACAGCAUCUUCGGGUGUGCUUUGAAUGCAUACCAGCUGCUUCCCUGAGGGGGUGGAUGGAUGGAUGGAUGGUCCCCAGAAAAAAACCGACCCUUUGCCUCCCCCAGAAGUAGCUCCUUUCCCCAGCCAGAACCUGCAGAUCAGAUCAGAAGCACCAGCUCCUUUCUGCUUCAUGAGUGCAAUGCAUUCACAAGUCUUUAUCUCUUUCUCUCCCUUGAUUUUUUUUUUAAAUUUUAAAACAACCAAUUGUUUUAUUUUCCCCCUCUCUCCUUUACGUUCCUGAUGGCAGAUUGCAACACAGCCCCCCAGUUUUGGUUUGUUGCCCCGUCUCAUGCCCAGCCCUUGAUGGGGGAGAAGACAGAGAACAAGAAAAUCCAACUUUAGAAGACGGAGGACUGUUUCUGUCUUUGGUUAUCUAGCUGUAUGAGUGUUAUCAAGCCAUCAUAAAGCUAGAUAACCGAAAGUAGAAAUGACUUCCAAAGACUUCUUGGAGCGGGGAAGCGAAAAGAAGGAAAGCAAGAGAAAGGAGAAAGAAAGAAAAGACUGGAGAUCAGGAAAAACAAAACAAAACACAGACACCUGAGAAGAUCAAGAAAUUGGCCAGCUCUGAGGGCUUUUCAAGGAAUCCUUGCAAACCCUUCAAAACAGACAUGACUGGAAGUUCAUGGCUUGGGAUUCAAUGGAAAAGAGACAAGACAUCUCUGUCCCCUUCUUUCUCUGAGUCUGGAAAGAGGCUGUGCGACACUCGGCAGCCGAGAUAAGAAACUUCCAAUUCGGCACUGGCGGUCGGCGAUGGAGAUGGAGGGCUCUUCCGUGAAUCUCUGGCUUAAUUCCCCCUGCCCUAGUUCUUCUUCCUCGAUACCCUCCCCUCCCUCAAAGCCCGUCAGGGCCAUGCGGUGUGCUCCACCAACAAGCACAGAAGGAGGAGGAGGAGGCCGUGAAAGAGAUGGGGAGAGAGAGAAAGAAAGAAAGAAAGAGAGAGAGAGAGAGAGAGAGAGAGCAGCCCCUCCCUGUGGAGGCUCUCUUAAGUCCUCUAGGCCACCCUGCUGCCACUCGCAGGGUGCUCGAUGCCAGGAAGCCAUUUUGACGGAGUCGGAUGCCGUUUGUAAGAUGGCCGCGUUGACACGAGAUUCCAGUGGUGAUGAGUGCCAAAAUCUAGAUAAAACAUCUUCCAUUGCCUCACCAAGUUGACUACAGCGGAAGGCACGCCCACUGGGAUGUUUUGCAUGGACCUGCCUUUCAAACCAGCUGUUUCUGGGAUCUCCUACAGUGAUACCCUUUUGGGACGCUAGGCUUUGCAUUUCGGGAUUGCUUAGAGCUCAUGGGACAUGGGGACUAAUCCAGAUUAGUUGCGAUCUGGCCAUGUAAAUGGGACAGCAUUGGUUCCCCGGGUCUGCCCUCCCACUUUGCUCCAUUGAAUCACACCUGGACAUGAGAUGUUUCCCUGGACUCUUUAUGCCUGGAUGCCGGAGAAGAAAUGUCUGGAUCAGAAACACUUAUGCCUCCUGCAGUGGCCGAUGUUAUUGAGAAGGACGUGAUGCAAAACUAAGAUGGUUUGCGACAUCAUGGAAAAUACACAACUGGGUGAUGACGGGAGACCGGAAGGGAGUUAAUGUCACCUAGGGUGACUCAAUGCUGUCUGCUUAGCCAACAGGGCAUGGCUUGGAUUAGUGGUUUUCAAACUCCCGGCCUCUAGGGAUGUGCAAACCGGCUCGUCAUCAAGCCGGUUCGACGCCGAACUGGUUCGGUUUGACAAUUCAGGGUCGAACCAAACCACACCCUGUUUGGUCUGACCCCGGACCCAACACCUCCCAGCUGUUCAGGGCUUCGUGGAACUUUUUCAUUUUGGUUUUUUUUUAAAAGAAAAAAAGUUUUUUUAAUCUUAUCCCCCUCAGGGGAGUUCCUGGAGGCGGUGGGGUGUGUGUGUCCGCAGAGGUUCCCCCUCCCCCCGCCAGCUCUCCCUAUGGCCCCCUCCAGCCGGUUUGCCAUCUCUUCGUCCAGUUUUUGGCCUUCUCCCUGUGGCACGGUGGCCAUUUUGGAGGCCAUGCGCCUGCACAAUUGGCCUCUGUGGGGCCUCUGCGUCCCCGUCCCCCCCCCCCGAACACCCAAGAAAGUGCAAUGGUCAGGGGUUUGUGGUAGGCAAGUCAAAAGUGGGGAAAUUGUUUUUAUAUGACACACGAUUGAAAACUGGGAGAGCACACAGCUUCCAAAUUAGGGUAGGAAGCUUAGGGUGAUGAGUUAUCAUCCAUCUCAAUGUGCACCUAUAAGGUAUUGAUUGUGAGGACAGGACUGGAAGUUGGUUAGUGCACCAGAUUAAUUUAAUGGUCAAAGAACCUUGUGUGUAUGCUGGGACUACAUUGUCUCUGACAAUUUCCUUUCCUCCUAAGUUUAGGAAUGUAGGAAGCUGCCAUAUACUGAGUCAGACCAUUGGUCCAUCUAGCUCAGUAUUGUCUUCACAGACUAGCCGUGGCUUCUCCAAGGUUGCAGUCAGGAAUCUCUCUCAGCCCUAUCUUGGAGAUGCUGCCAGGGAGGAAACUUGGAACCUAGAUGCUCUUCCCAGAGCGGCUCCAUCCCCUGAAGGGAAUAUCUUCCAGUGCUCACACUUCUAGUCUCCCAUUCAUAAGCAACCAGGGCAGACCCUGCUUAGCAAAGGGGACAAGUCAUGCUUGCUGCCACAAGACCAGCUCUCCUCUCCCAACACAAAUUGUGUGUCAGAUGAAUGAAACCACAAGGUGUUUUGUUUGUUUUACUAUUGUUUGGGAGGGAAGGGGGAACACUCUCAGUUUCUUGCAGUCCUAAUUCUCUUUUUGUAGAAACGCCCAUUUAUUUCAAAGUGGCUUUAUGCCUACAAUUGCUGACUUUGUGUCUUUCAAAAAUAAGAAGGCCGUUCACAGGACCAAAAUCCCUGGUGGCUAAAUUUGGGCUGGGUUGGUGGUGGCAGGAGUAUACCUCCCUCCCUCCACCACCCCAAUGAUCUUCUUGCUCCCUUUACCGUGCCACUUCACUGCCGGAUAUGCUGCCUGGCCUCCAGAAAUCCCACAAUGCACUGCACAAGGAGCAUGGUGCAUUGCGGAAUUCCUACUCAAGCCGGGGACUCUAGGCUCCCUGCUCUGUGUCUGCUCAGGCUGUAACAUGAGAUAAUAUGACCUACUGUGCCAUGUUGUUCUGCCCUACCUUACAGGGUUGUUGUAAGGAUGAGAAGAUGAUGUAUGUAAAGUACUUCUAGGACUCUAAGCUACUAUCUGUAUUAUGAUUGGGUAGAUCUGUGUUAAUAGAUUGGUUUUUGAUUCUCUUUUAUAAUGUAAGGGGGGGCCCCACCCCCACCCACAUACCUGUUUGUAAUUUAAAACUUGAUUUAAAAAAAAACAAACCACUCUCAGUUAUUAAAGAAU